rnacentral:ncRNA from 1 species
GCUGCUUUCCGAAGCAGACUUUUUCGUUGACGAAAAAGAUCUCCAAACCUUUGUCGGCGCGGCCUUCCAGCCGCGCUUUUUUUUG